rnacentral:lncRNA from 1 species
GUCCUUACCACGUGGGUCUCUCCACUGGGCUGUCCAAGUGUACUUGUGACACAACAGCUGGUUUUUCCCCAAAGCUAGUGAUCGGAGAGAGAGAGAGAGAGAGAAUAAGCAGGAAGCUGCAGUGCCUUUUAUGACCUAGUUUCAAGCCAUACACCACUGCUUCUGCUUUCUCCUAUUUGUGAGAGUAGAGACAUUAAGUCUAGCCUAUCCUUAAGUGGAGGGGAAUUAGGCUCUGCCUCUCUAAGGAAGGAGUGUCAAAGAGUCUUGGGUCAUACCUUAACACCUCCACAACAGCUCACCAUGAGCUCCCUAGCUGACUGUCAGGAUCCUGGGACCAAUCUGCAGGGCUGAGUCCAUCUGGCCCUGGGGCAGCCCAGCCUCUUCAGUUGUAGCUGGGGCCUCCCCAUCUGUCCCUGUCCCUCUCCAACUGGGAGGAGGGUGAACAGACGAGUACACACCUUUCAAAACAGUCUUCUGGUGAAGAGAGACAGAGGGAGAGAAAGAAGGGUAAUACUUAAGCCCUUGGAGUCGCCCUAACCUCUUCUCCAGCUUAAGCCAGCUCUGCUCUGCCACUGACAGGUGUGACCCAGGCAGAGCGAGACGCCCCGUUAUGCAGAUGGUGAACAGAUAGCCAGGGACCUUGACCUCAAAGCUCUGGCCUCCAAAUCCCAGCUGUGACAGCUCACACAGAUCCUGUCAGUGGAAGACUCUCAAUCUGGAGAGGGAGCAGCAAAAAUAUUAAAUUUCAAAAAUGACAUUGCGCUGGUUGUUCAGAAAAGUUUCCAGGCUUUGCUUUCAUUGAUGAGACUGCACCUGUGCUGCCAUGUGAAAAGAGCUCAACGGACUUCUGGUGGGAGAGCUGGUUGAUACAACCUCACUGGAAAGCAGUUUGGCAGAAUCUCCCAAAGCUGCACAUACUUGAUGCUCCAGGAAUCCCACUCCCACCCGAGGAAAACAAGUACUUACGUUCACCCAAAGACGUGGAUGAGAAUGUUCACAGCAGCUUUCUUCCUAAGGUCAGGGACACGCCCAAAGGUCCGUGAAGGUAGACUGGACAAAGCGUAGUGCAUCCACGCGAAGGAAAGCCACGCUGCAACGAGCAUGCAAGAGCCCAGCUCUCCAGGGCAACGUGGAUGGAACUGGCACACAACCUUCCGAGAAAGAGGCCAGACAGGAAGCGUAUAUACUUCACGGCUCCAUGUAUGUGAAAUCCAGGGACAGACAAAACCAUUCUGGGAGAUAGAAAUCAGGACGGGGGCUCCCUUGGGUGGAGUUUUGACAGGAAAGGGUUGAGAGCCUUCAGGGGCCAGAAAUGUUCUCAUUUUUUGUCUAGGUUUAUACGUAGGUGAAAAAUUCAUCAAGACAUACAUU